AAUGAAGCGGUUAUGGAGAUACAAUACGGAAACCAAUGCUCUGUGGAGAAGGCUAAUUCGUGAAAAAUGUGGACAGGAUGACCAUAUGGUGCUCUAAAGUUGUCAAUAGUCUAUAUGGGGUGAGGGUGAGGAAAGCCAUCAAAUUCAAUUGGGACCUUCUAUCUGACAACACUACCAUAAGGAUAGGAAAUGGUAGGAAAG
rnacentral:misc_RNA from 1 species